UAUCGUGUCGUAUCCGUGUCGCCAUAUCCGUAUCGGUGCAACAUAAACUUAAGCAUACAAAAUUAGGUCAAAUCCCAAAACAGUCCCUUCUAUUUGAAUUUUUCCUACUAAAACCUCCUUCGUUUCCUCUUAAUCAAGCAAGUGGACCCCCACCUUCAAGGGUGGCAAGCAUGGAGGGCAAAACUUCCAUGUCACUCUUAUAAAAUUAGACCGGUCCUUGGACCUGUCUAUUAAUACUCCCCUCCCUAAGAGCUACUUUGUCUUUAAGGUGGAAGGAGGGAAAUUGAUGUUCACCCUCUCGUAUGGUUCUCAAGUGACAUCAUAGUUAGUUAAUCUCUUUCACUUAAUCAACCCUUCAUUAGACUUGCCCUUUCCUUGUCAGAGCCCUUUAAGCUCAUGUGGUUCCAAAACCACCUCCAUUGUAGUUCUGAACUAGUUGCAUGAUCCUCCGCUGCUCUCCUCAACUGUGAAACAUGGAACACUUGGUGUAUGAACGCCGUCGGGGAUAAACUCAAGCAAUAAGCCACUGCUCUAAUCCCCUCCAAUACCUUAUAAGGGUCAAAAUACCUCGCGGCUAACUUCUCAUUUCUUCAGUUGGCUACUACCCUGUCCGUUUGGUCGCAGCUUUAAGAAUGGCGUAUCCGCAAUGACAAACUAGAUGUCCUUCUUGUGUUCAUCUACCUGCUUCUUCAUAAUUUGUUGAUCCUUAGUAGGUGUCUUUUUAACUCCUCUAGCACCCUAUCCCUUUCCUCCAAGUACUGCUUUACUGAAGAUACUUGUGUGCCUCUAUGCCUAAAAUAUAUCAAAUGUGGAGGGAUCUCCUAUACAACGUCUUAAAAGGAGUCAUCUGGUAGGCAUAGAGGUACAAAAUGCCAGUAUUCUGCCCAUGCCAACCACUUGACCCAUACCCUAGGUGCUUCUGAAGCAAAACAUCGCAGGUAUGUCUCCAAGCCCCAGUUUACUACUUCUAUUUGCCCGUUUGUCUCUAGAUUAUAAGCGGUGCUUCUCUUCAGUACUGUUCCCUGUAGCCUAAACACCUCCCUCAAAAAAUGACUGAGGAACACCUUAUCUUUGUUUGAUACUACAGACUCUGGUAUCCCAUUUAACCUAACCUCUUCCCUGAUGAAUGUUGCUGUUAUCAUCACUUUCGUGUAAGGAUGUCAUAGGGGGAUGAAGUGAACGUACUAUCUCAAUCUAUCAACAGCCAUCAGAAUCAUAGUAAAUCUUUUUAAUUGAGGUAACCCAUCAAUAAAGCCCAUGGUGACCUCAUCCCUUACCCUAUUUAGUAGUUCUAUGGGGUUGAAGUUGUAAAACCCGAAAACAGUCGUUCGAAUGUGUCACACACAUUUCGAUGUGUCGCGACAAAUUUAGGAAAAAUUUCAAAGUUGUCAGAAUUCGACGAAAUAAAUUUUAUUAAAUUCUACACGAAAUUUCGAUCGAAAUGGUAUAAAGAACUUAUAACAAAUUUCACUAGGUUUGAGAAUUAAAAUUUUUUGAAGAUGGUUUAAGUAAAAUUUUAGCCUUUCUUCUUUUUUUGCCCUUUAUAUGACAUUAGAGAAGAUUAUGGGAGAGGGGCAUAUGCGUCCUUUUGCAUAUUACUAAUUUUUAAACCUUAAGGGAUUGAAAUAAUCGGUCCAUUGUGUUUCUUUCAGCCGUGAGAGAGGAGAGCAGACGGGAGAGAAGGGGAGAACGGUGGGGGACGCGUGAAAGCCGGCGGUCGGCUUGGUUUUCCGGUGAGAUUCCUUAGGAAAAAGCUAGAGGAAGGCUUGGAGAAGAUAAGAGGCGCACAAGGAUCUCAAAACACCAUUUUUGAUGCCAGGGUGCAAAGUUGCCGACGAUUAUGGGAUUAUGCUAAUAGCAGUGUGGGGAUUAUCUGAUAUCUAUAGUUCUAUUAUUGCUUGGUGACUGCUCUGGGGAUCAAUACUGAAGGGGGAUUACUGAUGGCAAAGUAUAUUGGAAGACAGAGGGGAACAAACUCCAUUAUAGGUAUAUGCUGACAAUCAUGGACAAUGAGGAAUUCUUUGAGCAGGAAAGACCAAUAUCCUUGAGUGAUACUAGGCUCUUAGUUAUCAUAUGAAAACAGGCUUCAUGGCAAGUGUUUUGGGUGGUACCUGCUACUAUGUCUUCUCUGAAACUUGGAACUGAUUUCUUUGCCAAUAAGUUCUCAGUUGAAACAAUAUGAACUAGAGCUCGUGCUAUGAUAUCUGAACUCUUGAACCAUUUGCAAGAUUGGAACAAUAGAAGGUCGUUCACCUCAGCUAGUGAUUUUCAUGCUUUUGAAGCAAGCAGUGAAGCUUUUGCGCUAACUGAAAAUAGUAGAGCAUCCGAGUUACUAAAACAGGUUCCGUUUUAGGUACCAUUUACAAGCAGGGUUAAAAUAUUCAAUGUGAGAACAACCACUCCACACCUUCCCAAACAUGCCCGCACACGCAUAAGUGAUGUCAUCUCUAGGGCCACUUGAACUUAUAAUUUUAUUACGAAUAGUCCAAUUGAUCUUUUUUAUAAGAUGGACUUAUUGAUGGGGACAUCUAUGCAUGGAAAGCUUAUCAUAGAAGGGGCCGUAGAUCGACGGCCACAUUUGAGUCGUUAUAUUAUUAGUUGUUA